ensembl:snoRNA SNORD36 Small nucleolar RNA SNORD36
AUGAAAGAAAAAGAUUGGUUCACAUGGAAUCUGUGAAGAGUAAAAUUUGAGCUUUUUAACCCUGAAUCAUA